CUACACCUACUCCGCAACUCCUAGAACAACUGAGGCAGGCAAGGAGGUCCAUAUCCGAACUUUUACUGGAUGACACAGCCAGGGCUAUUGCCUGGACGAAACGGUCCUACUAUGAGAAAUCGAAUAAAAUGGACACUAUGCUGGCCAGAACCCUAUGCCCCAGACAGACUCGGACCCCCAUCACCACGAUCAAACAUGCGGACGGAUCUAUUAAAACAAACCCAACCGAUAUUGCCGAAGUCUUCACAAGCUACUAUGAAAAAUUGUAUAAUCAUAUCCCCAGGGACUCAAUGACACAAGAGGCUGCAAAGGUAGGC